rnacentral:rRNA from 1 species
UAACGCGUUAAAUCGACCGCCUGGGGAGUACGGCCGCAAGGUUAAAACUCAAAUGAAUUGACGGGGGCCCGCACAAGCGGUGGAGCAUGUGGUUUAAUUCGAUGCAACGCGAAGAACCUUACCUGGUCUUGACAUCCACAGAACUUUCCAGAGAUGGAUUGGUGCCUUCGGGAACUGUGAGACAGGUGCUGCAUGGCUGUCGUCAGCUCGUGUUGUGAAAUGUUGGGUUAAGUCCCGCAACGAGCGCAACCCUUAUCCUUUGUUGCCAGCGGUUAGGCCGGGAACUCAAAGGAGACUGCCAGUGAUAAACUGGAGGAAGGUGGGGAUGACGUCAAGUCAUCAUGGCCCUUACGACCAGGGCUACACACGUGCUACAAUGGCAUAUACAAAGAGAAGCGACCUCGCGAGAGCAAGCGGACCUCAUAAAGUAUGUCGUAGUCCGGAUUGGAGUCUGCAACUCGACUCCAUGAAGUCGGAAUCGCUAGUAAUCGUAGAUCAGA